rnacentral:rRNA from 1 species
GACGAACGCUGGCGGCGUGCCUAAUACAUGCAAGUAGAACGCAGUUGCGAACGGGUGAGUAACGCGUAGGUAACUGCCUCAUAGCGGGGGAUAACUAUUGGAAACGAUAGCUAAUACCGCAUACAGUGAGAUGGACCUGCGUUGUAUUAGCUAGUUGGUGAGGUAAAGGCUCACCAAGGCGACGAUGCAUAGCCGUCCUGAGAGGGUGAUCGGCCCCACGGCGACUGAGACACGGCCCAUACUCCUACGGGAGGCAGCAGUAGGGAAUCUUCGGCAAUUGACGAUGGUCUGACCGGGCAACCCCGCGUGGGUGAAGAAGGUUUUCGAAUCGUAAAUCUCUGUUGUUAGAGACGCGGUAUCUAACCAGAAAGCCACGGCUAACUACGUGCCAGCAGCCGCGGUAAUAC